GACGAACGCUGGCGGCGUGCUUAACGCAUGCAAGUCGAGCGAGUGGAUUCCCUUCGGGGAUGAAGCUAGCGGCGGACGGGUGAGUAACACGUGGGCAACCUGCCUUAUAGAGGGGGAUAGCCUUCCGAAAGGAAGAUUAAUACCGCAUAAUAUCAGAUUAUCGCAUGGUAGACUGAUCAAAGGAGCAAUCCGCUAUAAGAUGGGCCCGCGUCGCAUUAGCUAGUUGGCGGGGUAACGGCCCACCAAGGCAGUGACGGGUAGCUGGUCUGAGAGGAUGGCCAGCCACAUUGGGACUGAGAGACGGCCCAGACUCCUACGGGAGGCAGCAGUGGGGAAUCUUGCGCAAUGGCCUAACGGCUGACGCAGCGACGCCGCGUGGGGGAGGAAGGGCUUCGGCUCGUAAACCCCUGUUGCCCGGGGCGAACAUCCCUUUUCGAGGGGACUGACGGUACCGGGUGAGGAAGCACCGGCUAACUCCGUGCCA
rnacentral:rRNA from 1 species